AGCGAACGCUGGCGGCAGGCUUAACACAUGCAAGUCGAGCGGACCUUUCGGGGUCAGCGGCGGCCGGGCGUGUAACGCGUGGGAACGUUCCUUCCUGUUCGGAAUAACUCUGGGACACUAGUGCUAAUACCGGAUACGCGCUUAUGGGGAAGGGUUUACUGACCGAAGAUCGGCCCGCGCCAGAUUAGCUUGUUCGUAGGGUAAUGGCCUACCAAGGCGCCGAUGAGUAGCUUGUUUGAGAGGCUGGUCAGCAACACUGGGAGGGGGACCCGGCCCGGACUCCUACGCGAGGGAGCAGAGGGUGAUAUUGGAAAAUGGGCGCAAGCAUGAUCCAGCCAUGCCGCGUGAGUGAUGAAGGCCUUAGGGUUGUAAAGCGCUUUUAUCCGGGACGAUAAUGACGGUACCGGAGGAAUAAGCCCCGGCUAACUUCGUG
rnacentral:rRNA from 1 species